UCCCUCUCUGUUCCCGCAUUUCCUUUCGGCAGCCAGCCGGCCACUCUGGCACCAUGCUCUGGCUCCUAAGGCUGCUGUUGCUGCUGCUGCUGCUGCCUCCCCCUGGGUCCCCUGAGCCCCCCGGCCUGGCCCCGGUGUUCCCGGGAGCGCCGCCGCAGGCCCCCGACUUGCUCUAUGCCGACGGGCUGCGCGCCUACUCGGCCGGUGCCUGGGCGCCCGCCGUGGCGCUGCUGCGGGAGGCGCUGCGAAGCUGGGCGGAGCUGGGCCGCGCGCGGCGGGACUGCGGGGCUAGCUGUGCGGCCGAGCCUGGCGCCGCGCUUCCCUUCGUGCUGCUAGGCGCCACGAGCCCCGACUUGGGGCCGGGACCGGCCCAGGGGUCCUGGGAGCGGCUGCUCCUCCGCGCCGCCCUCCGCCGCGCUGAGUGCCUGACCCAGUGCGCCGCGCGGAGGCUAGGCCCCGGGGGCGCGGCGCGACUUCGCGUGGGGAGCGCGCUCCGGGACGCCUUCCGCCGUCGAGAGCCCUACAACUACCUUCAAGGGGCCUACUACAAGCUGAAGAAGCUGGACCUGGCGGCAGCUGCAGCACACACCUUCUUUGUAGCAAACCCAACACACCUGCAGAUGCGGGAGGACAUGGCUAAGUACAGACGAAUGUCUGGGGUCCAGCCCCAGAGCUUCCGAGACCUGGAGACUCCUCCACACUGGGCAGCCUAUGACACUGGCUUGGAGCUACUGAGGCGCCAGGAAGCAGGACUGGCACUGCCUAGGCUAGAGGAGGCCCUGCAGGGGAGCCUGGCUCAGAUGGAGAGUUGCCGGGCAGGCUGUGAGGGCCCUGAGGAGCAGCAAGGGGCAGGAGAGGAGGAGGAAGGGGCUGGGAGCCAAGGGGGCCUCUAUGAGGCCAUUGCAGGACAUUGGAUUCGGGUCCUACAGUGCCGGCAGCGCUGCGUGGGAGAAACAGCCACACGUCCUGGUCGAAGCUUCCCUGUCCCUGAUUUUCUUCCCAGCCAGCUGAGGUGGCUGCAUGAAACCUAUGCUCAGGUUGGCAAUCUAUCCCAGGCUGUGGAAAAUGUCUUGAGUGUCCUGCUCUUCUAUCCGGAGGAUGAGGCUGCCAAGAGUGCUCUGAACAAGUACCAGGCCCAGAUAGGAGAGCCAAGACCUGGCCUCGGGCCAAGAGAGGACAUCCAGCACUUCUUCCUUCGGUCCCUAGGGGAGAAGAGGCAGCUCUACUAUGCUAUGGAGCACCUGGGGAUCAACUUCACAGAUCCUGAUCCCUGGACCCCUGCAGCUCUCAUCCCUGAGACACUUAGAGAAAAGCUAAGAGAGGAUCAAGAGAAGAGGCCUUGGGACCAUGAGCCUCCUCAGCCAAAGCCCUUGACCUACUGGAAAGAUGUUCUCCUCCUGGAGGGAGUGACCCUGACCCAGGACGCCAGGCAAUUGAACGGGUCAGAGCGGGCAGUGUUGGAUGGGCUGCUUACCCCAGCCGAGUGUGGGGUGCUGCUGCAGCUUGCCAAGGAUGCAGCUGGGGCUGGAGCCAGAUCUGGCUAUCGUGGUCGCCGUUCCCCACAUACCCCCCAUGAACGCUUCGAGGGGCUCACUGUGCUAAAGGCUGUGCAGCUGGCCCGGGCUGGGACGAUAGGCAGUCAGGGCGCAAAGCUGCUUCUGGAGGUGAGCGAGCGUGUGCGAACCGUGACACAGGCUUACUUCUCCCCUGAACGGCCCUUGCAUCUUUCCUUCACCCACCUGGUAUGCCGUAGUGCCAUAGAAGGAGAGCAAGAGCAGCGCAUGGACUUGAGUCACCCAGUGCAUGCAGACAACUGUGUCCUGGACCCUGAUACCGGAGAGUGCUGGCGGGAGCCCCCAGCCUAUACCUAUCGAGACUAUAGUGGACUCCUCUACCUCAAUGAUGACUUCCAGGGCGGGGACCUGUUCUUCACAGAGCCCAACGCCCUCACUGUCACGGCCCAGGUGCGUCCUCGCUGUGGACGCCUCGUGGCUUUUAGUUCCGGUGGGGAAAAUCCCCAUGGUGUGUGGGCUGUGACACGGGGACGGCGCUGCGCCCUGGCACUGUGGCACACAUGGGCCCCUGAGCACAGGGAGCAGGAGUGGACAGAAGCCAAAGAGCUACUGCGAGAGUCAGAGGAAGAAGAGGAAUCAGAGGAAGAGGAAGAGGAAGAAAUGCCCAGCAGAGAUCCUUCCCCAGAACCCCCAAGCCAUAGGCUUCAUCGAGUCCAAGACAAGACUGGAAAGCCAGCUCGGAUCCGGGAGGAGCUAUGAAUGGCUGACCCAGCUUCUUGAAGAUGUGGCCACUUGACUUGUGAAAUGCCACCCUGAUGCCAGGACCUAUAAGAAGUCCCCAUGUGUUAGGCAUUAUGGAUCAGGCCCAGGGGCAGCUGGUUGGGGUUUGUCAAGAAGAAGGAUUAUCCAGAUCAGUCCCUUCUAAUCUCAGCUCCUGCCUGUACCCUCCCAUGUUCAUCAUAACCCUCUUCCCCCACCUCCCUGCACUAAGGAACACAAUCUGAGGUAUUGAUAUUGGGACCAUCUAUCACCCUCGUA